rnacentral:rRNA from 1 species
CUCUUCAAAGGUCUUGGAAUAAGGGGUGGGUAAGGACGGUGCCAGCCGCCGCGGUAAUACCGGCGCCUCAAGUGGUAGUCGCUUUUAUUGGGCCUAAAACGUCCGUAGCCGGUUUGGUACAUUCAUGGGUAAAUCAAGGCGCUCAACGUCUUGAAUUCUGCGAGCACGGCCAGACUUGGGACCGGGUGAGGUGUGGGGUACUCUCAGGGUAGGGGUAAAAUCCUGUCAUCCUGAGAGGACCACCUGUUGCGAAGGCGCCACACUAGAACGGAUCCGACGGUCAGGGACGAAGCCUAGGGGCACGAACCGGAUUAGAUACCCGGGUAGUCCUAGGUGUAAACGCUGUGGACUUGAUGUUGGGAGUGCUCCGAGCACCCUCAGUGUCGAAGCGAAGGUGAUAAGUCCACUGCCUGGG